CCUACGGGUGGCAGCAGUGGGGAAUAUUGCGCAAUGGAGGAAACUCUGAUGCAGCAACGCCGCGUGAAGGAAGACGGUUUUCGGAUUGUAAACUUCUGUUCUGAGGGAAGAGUAGUAGCGGGUGCUAAUGAGCAAGCCACGGCUAACGACGUUCCAGCAGCCGGGGUAAUACGUAGGUGGCAAGCGUUGGCCGGAAUUACUGGGUGGAAAGGGAGGGCAGGCGGGAAGCCAAGUCAGCUGUGAAAACUACGGGCUUAACUUGUAGACUGCAGUUGAAACUGGUUUCCUUGAGUGAAGGAGAGGUAAGCGGAAUUCCGAGUGUAGCGGUGAAAUGCGUAGAUAUUCGGAGGAACACCGGUGGCGAAGGCGGACAACUGGGCUUUAACUGACGCUGAGGCUCGAAAGUGUGGGGAGCAAACAGGAUUAGAUACCCCAGUAGUC
rnacentral:rRNA from 1 species